CUUGGACUUUAACAAGGAGGCCCUUUUACUACUUAAAAAAGUAAGUGCUUCCUUGUUUUAGUAAAAG
rnacentral:pre_miRNA from 15 species